UGAGCUGCGAGCUGUGUCUUCAGCCUGGAGCAAGGCCACCACUCCCAGCGCCUGGCCGCCUCGCUCCCGAAAGCUCAGCUCAGCCUACAUGUGCCGACCCCUCUGUCCCCCAGGCCCAGGUUGGGCACUGGUCAGGACGGUGCUCCCAGAGGGACCCAGUAACAGGAGGAGCUAGGGUGAGAGCAUGAGGGUGGGGGGAGCGGCAGAGAGGAGGGAGAGGCAGGAGGUGCUCAGGGCAGGAGUGUCUCGAGUGGGUCUGGACAGGAACAGAAAGGGCAUUCCAGGCAGAGGGGCCCAAAGAAGCAAAGGUGCACCAAGGAGAAAUGCCCGCUGUGCUCCACCACAGUGGAGGUGCAAACCUCAGCAUGGAAGAUGAGGCUGGAGGGAGGGGCCUGGGCUGGAACAUGGCCAGGAUGGCAGUGGGGAGCCAUUGGAGAUAUUUGAGCAGGGGAGUGACAGGGUCAGAUUCGAGUUUUGGAAAGAUAAUAUCUUGAGCCAUUAAACAGAUUUCUAGGAUUUCAGGUUUAUUUAUUUAUUUAUUUAGAGACUCACUUCACUCUGUUACCCAGGCUGUAGUGCAGUGGUGCGAUCUCUGCUCACUGCAGUCACUCAAGGCCGAGUGAUUCUCAUGCCUCAGCCUCCUGAGUAGCUGGGACUACAGGCGUGCACCACCAUGCCCAGCUAAUUUUUGUAUUUUUAGUAGAGGCGGGGUUUCGCCAUGUUGGCCAGACUGGUCUCGAAUUCCUGGCUGGGAUUACAGGCGUGAGCCACCACGCCCUGCUGGAUUUUGGAUUCUUGAUACGUAUCAUCAACCACUCUCCAGAGUUUGGCCAGCUUCACGCUCCGUCAGUGGUCUCACCAUAGACCUUCUAAUCUUGAUUGUGUUGGCUGGUGUCUAUUUUCUAAUGGUGUUUGGUUUUGGAACCUGCAUUUCUUUGAAAAACAGCAUGUGCAUUUUCCCAGAUGCCUGGUAUCCAACUGCACUUCUCCAUGUGUGCAUUGUCCCCUGAGCUGGCAAGAAGAUCCUACUAGUUGGUCUGCAUGCCAUGCCAGCUCGGCCUUGCACCCUGGGGGCCCAGGUAACUAGCUCUCACCAACAGAAAGAGAUGUGAUGGACAUCACCUGAGGCCAGACCCUAAGACCUCUGUGUGCCCCCUCCGUGUCUCCUGUCUGCAGCUGUUGUCCACACCAAGGGUGGCCUACAGAGGGAAGUGAGGACCUUGGGACUUCCUCCAGGACAGCCCUCGCUGUCCAAAUCUCCACCUGCUGCAGAGCUGCCUCCAGUCAAGCCCUUGUUUCCGGCUUUCUGUGCCCUAAAUAAACUUCCGCUAGGAUUGAGCCGUCAGCAUUCUGUGGUGGGCGUCGCUGCUGCAAGGUUGCCCUCGUGCACACAAGCUCCUCACAGGACUUCCAGGAUGAUAUGGAAGAGUAACUGAGAGCAGCCGCCCGGUGCUUCCCAACCUUAGAGGGAGGUCACGGGCAGUCUCCCUGCGAUGCCGGCCA
rnacentral:lncRNA from 1 species